AAUCAACGCUGGCGGCGUGCCUCAGACAUGCAAGUCGAACGCGAAAGUUCCCUUCGGGGGGCGAGUAGAGUGGCGCACGGGUGAGUAACACGUAGGUAAUCUACCUUUGGGUGGGGAAUAACAGCCGGAAACGGCUGCUAAUACCGCAUAAUGCAGCGGCUCGACAUCGAGACAGUUGUUAAAGCGGGGGAUCGCAAGACCUCGCGCCUAAAGAGGAGCCUGCGGCGGAUUAGCUUGUUGGUGAGGUAAUGGCUCACCAAGGCAUCGAUCCGUAGCCGGCCUGAGAGGGCGGUCGGCCACACUGACACUGACAUACGGGUCA
rnacentral:rRNA from 1 species